CCAUUUUAGAGAUAUUUUUCUUUUAGUAUUUUCUUUUGAUGCUACUUUCUUUAUAUUUGUAAUUAUUUUGUACAUGAUUUUUAGAUUAUUAUCAAAUGAAUUGAUUGAGUUAACACUUUAUUACUUUAUUUAUAUAUAUGUUAGAUCGGAAGGCAAAAUUUUUGUUCUAAGUUUACACAGCGCGAAUUGUUCAAGAAAGAAUACACGACAAAAAUGGUUCAAAUGGGUCAUAGAUCAUACAUUCCUACCAAGUAAUUCAGUGUUUAGUUCUUCCUUGAUGGUUUUGUCUUUUGGAAUAUGAUCGUUGGAAUUUUGGGGUGCAAGGCUUCUGAUUUUCUAGAGAGUAUGCUGGAGUUUGUCUACAAAUGAGAAUGUCCUACAGUCCAGCAGCACACCUGUUCCUUUUUUUAGUGCAGUGGACUGAUUGUCACCUUGCUGGUGCCCUUGAAUUGCUGAGAAUUCUAAUUUUCAAGGUUUAUGUUGAUGGCACCACAAACAUGUCAGUUCAAGAAAGAAAAGCAAGCAUUAAGGAGUUUUAUGGUUCAGAAGACAAAAAAGGCAAAAACUGUUUGCAUGGAGAGAUAUAGGAGAAGAGAUGUUGAGGAUUACUGAGAGUCUUCUGACUCAGACAUUGAAAGAGAAGAGGAAUAUGGAACCUUCAGUUUUGAAGUUAUGUAAGUCUUAAGCAAAUGUAACUCAACUGAGAUUUGGAUUUUCUCUAGCAUCGCGCAACUACGCCAGUAAUUAGCGGAUAUGUCGAACUUAAUUACUUGCCUUUGUAAUUACAUGAACAACAAUAUGCAAGAUAGUUAUCCCUUGAUAAUUGAAUAUAAAGUCGAUUUCUUUAUUUA